rnacentral:lncRNA from 10 species
CACCCUAGUGCAGGUAAUGUACACAUAGUAACAAGCAGUGGCCGGGCAUGGUGGCUCACCCGGAAAAGGUACACUUCUAAUUAAAGUUAGCACUUAACAUCUCCUCACGUCUCCCCUAACCCCCUAUUUCUGGUAUAUUCUUUCUACUUCCUCACAUUCUGUUCCUUAGUCCUCACUGCCCAUCCCUGCCCCUGCUUAGCUUUGCUUCUCUAUUUGAACGGAUUAAGAGUUCACCAAUUGACCUUCCACUAUGCCUUCUAAGUAUGUUUGUCGAUUAAUCUUUUUCUUCCUCAAGUGGGUUUCCUGAGAAGGCCUCUUCAGUGCUAGAUUCCCUAAAUUCUUGCAAGUGUGAGGAUGUCUGCCUGACAUACUUGCAAAGUAAUUUGAGUGUAAAAUUC